AGUGAGAGUGUGGGCUGAGCAGCCCAAAGCAGAGGAGCAAGGGGAGAUGGCUGGAGCAGGACUUUCUCUAAUCUGAACCCCAGAAAGAGGCCCCCAUCUCUCCGUGGCAGCCAUGGUAACCGGAUGAAGGGGACACCUGUACAUUAGCAUUCCCAGCUCCUGCUAUCUGAAUAUACAGAGGAUCCAUAAUUAAACAAAAAACCUGGGCAUCAAACAUCGACCCCUGCUGGGAACUGCGAACACCCGGGAGCCUUUCACUGCCUUCUUCGCGCCCUGACCGUUUCGGCCCGGCCUUGGCAUGGACGCACAAGACAGAUCCCAUGUUGGGAGUCGCGCCUGGAAGCUUCUGUCCCUUCUAGGUCCGUGCGGAUGUCCCUUAGACGCAGGACGGGCACAGCAGCUACUCACUUGGUGGUGGCCACGGACCCCCCUGAGUCGGAAUCCCCCUCCAUUUCCCAAGAGUCCGUGAGUAAUGAUUUCUACCAUCUCCGGUUGGCUAGACGACUCCGUCCCAUCCUGGCGGGAGAAGACCUGGCCUCAGUUACUCACGCCUUCUUCCCCUCUUGGCUGGACGACAGCAAUGUGCUAUACCUGGGCAUGAAGCCUUCAGCACUUCGGAAACUCCACCCAGUACAAAACACGGCAGCUUGUCUCUUCAGCGACACAGGCGGCUGUGAGCACGUCACACCCAUCCUCCUCUCUCCACACUGGCGUCCCAUAGCGUAUCAAACCACGUUCAAGUUGCUGGCCCUUAUCUUCAAAAUACUUCAUGGCUUGGGCCCAGGACACCUAAAAGACCUUCUAGAGCUCCGGGAUGAAGACAGUGGGUGGCCAACAACUUCGCUCCUCUGCACAAUGAAGCUCUCAACGAUAAGAAUAAAGCUUGGAGGGUGGCCUGAGACUGGGGGGAACUCCCCCAGGAAUUUAGGACCACAACAAACCUCCCCACUUUCUGCUCCAAGGUGCCGUUCUUUGACUUUGCUGUCCCUAAUAUAAAGACGUAACAACAGGUCAUCUUUAUUUAACAAACACAACACUCCCCAAACAAGACACUCCAUGCUCCUCGUUAGGCGUGAUUAACAGCAGGAGAGAACACAACAUGUGAUGGAUGUGUCGGCGGGUGGCUUAAUGCAGGACUGGAAGGCGCUCAGGUACUCAGUGAUGGGUGUGGUAUAGGAACCUUGCAGCGACGCCUCCAGAAAACACAACAAGGACUCACCCACCCCAGAUUCUGCCACUCUGUUCCCUCCUGAGCCUAACCUCACAUGAGCAGGGAGUAAAGGGCGUGUUUGGGUUAUAACCCAGCUCUCCGGGCAGGAGCUCGGGGGGGCUCCGGUUUCCGCAGAGAGAACUCUUGGGGCUGUGAAACAGGAGGUUGAAGAAGCUAGGCAGGAGGAGCUGGCAGGAGGUACCACGUGGCUGUGGGAAGGAAGUCAGUGGGCUCCCUAGAUUAAGGGAAAGGGUGAGGGCUCGGAGGUCCAGUGUCUAUGGUCUAAUUAAACUGGCUUCCCCACCGUGCAGGCGGGGAGUGUUUUUAGAACAAUAUGGACUGGAUGGAGUUUUUCGGGAGCCCUGUGAGAGAGGGGAAACUGAGGCAGGCAUGUUGUGGUGCCACCCAGCCCAUGAAGGGGUGCUUGGGAGGCACUGGCCUGGGAGCAGCCUCUUAGUCCUGCAGCAUCUGAUUGCCUCGCAGACACUAGUGAACGGAGCUGUCUGCAGCAGAGACCGUGUAUCCUGGUAGAUAGCACCCUGGACUGGGACUCAGGAGACCCAGAUUCUACUCGUGGCUCUGCCACUGCCUGGCAGUGUAACCCUGGGCAAGUCACUUCACCCCUCUCUGCCCUCUCCCCUGUCUUGUCUGUUUACACUGUAAGCUCUUCAGGGCAGUCUUUCACUUUGUAUACCUACAGUGCCUGGCACAAAGGAGGCCUCCUCUUACUUGGGGGCACUCUAACCAUCACCAUAAUCUACCUAAUAACACCAACCUGAAGAGGUAGGUUAUUAUUCCCUUUUACAGGUAGGGAAACUGAGGCCAGGGACAAUAAAGCAACUUGCCCCAGGUCACCCAGUAAGCAGCUGGUAGAGCCAGGAAUUGAACCCAGCUUGCCUGCCUCCUAGCAGAGGGUCUUAAUCCCCAGGCCCUUUUAGCCCUGUGUUGGCUAUAAGUAC